rnacentral:rRNA from 1 species
CACGGGGGUUGCGAGCGUUUUCCGGAAUUACUAGGCGUAAAGGGCAGGCAGGCGGAUCCAUAAGUUUAUCGUUUAAGGCGUCGGCUUAACCGGCGUAGGGCGGUAGGAUACUGUGGAUCUGGAAUGCGGUUGGGGAAGACAGAAUUCCUGGUGUAGCGGUGGAAUGCGCAGAGAUCAGGAGGAAUACCGAAGGCGAAGGCAGUCUUCCAAGCCGUUAUUGACGCUCAACUGCGAAGGUGUGGGUAUCAAACAGGGAUUAGAUACCCUGGUAGUCCCUGAG